CUGUUGAUGAAAUACUCCGACGAUUAAUCACUAGAUCGGAGAAGGAGAACAAUCGUUUGUGCAUAAAAUCCAUGAAAUAACUGAUUAAAUAGAAACAAAGAUUCAGAAUCAAAUUUCUUUUGGAAUAAAAAUGGUGAAAGGAAAAAUGAAUCCCCCUAGAAAAGAUGAUACAAUUACAGUUAUUGUUUGCUGAACACACGCCAGCAGGAUUAAUCCCGAAAGUUGAGAACCACGAGG